GAUGAACGCUGACAGAAUGCUUAACACAUGCAAGUCGAUGGGGAAGUGGUGCUUGCCCCAUGGCAACCAUGGCGGACGGGUGAGUAACGCGUAAGGGACUUACCUGCAGGACUGGGAUAACAGGGGGAAGCUCCUGACAAGACCGGAUAAUGUCAUGGAGCUGCAUGGCUUUAUGAUGAAAGGAGACGCCUGCGGAGAGCCUUGCGUCCUAUUAGCUAGUUGGUGAGGUAAUGGCUCACCAAGGCGAAGAUAGGUAGCCGGCCUGAGAGGGUGGACGGCCACAAGGGGACUGAGAUACGGCCCUUACUCCUACGGGAGGCAGCAGUGGGGAAUAUUGGACAAUGGGGGCAACCCUGAUCCAGCAAUUCUGUGUGCACGAAGAAGGUUUUCGGAGUGUAAAGUGCUUUCAGCAGGGAAGAAGUAAGUGACGGUACCUGCAGAAGAAGCGACGGCUAAAUACGUG
rnacentral:rRNA from 1 species